AGUUUUGCGCUGUGGCAGUAUUGUAGCCAAUGAGGUUUAUCUGAGGUACGAUUAUUGCUAAUAGAAAAAGUACCAGACUUGAGUGCCACCUGAUGAUUCGCAAUUGGAAGUACAUAACACCUAUGAAGUCUUCUGGCCAAAGA
rnacentral:snRNA from 1 species